UACGGAGGUGGCAAGCGUUACUCGGAUUCACUGGGUGUAAAGGGUAUGUAGGCGGGCAAUCAAGUCAAGUGUGAAAUCCCUUGGCUCAACCAAGGAAGUGCGCUUGAAACUGUUUGUCUUGAGUGCGGAAGAGGAGAACGGAAUUCCCGGUGUAAGGGUGAAAUCUGUAGAGAUCGGGAGGAACACCAGUGGCGAAAGCGGUUCUCUGGUCCGUAACUGACGCUGAAAUACGAAAGCUUGGGGAGCAAACAGGAUUAGAUACCCCUGUA
rnacentral:rRNA from 1 species